UGCACGCAUGAGUGUAAGUCGCUUAGGAUAAAUGCAUCUGCUAAAUGGCUUAUA
rfam:Salmo salar isolate Sally breed double haploid chromosome ssa14, whole genome shotgun sequence.